UACAGAGGUCUCAAGCGUUGUUCGGAUUCAUUGGGCGUAAAGGGUGCGUAGGCGGCGGGGCAAGUCGGAUGUGAAAUCUCAGGGCUCAACCCUGAAACUGCAUUCGAUACUGCCUUGCUCGAGGACUGGAGAGGAGAUUGGAAUUCACGGUGUAGCAGUGAAAUGCGUAGAUAUCGUGAGGAAGACCAGUGGCGAAGGCGGAUCUCUGGACAGUUCCUGACGCUGAGGCACGAAGGCCAGGGGAGCAAACAGG
rnacentral:rRNA from 1 species